rnacentral:miRNA from 1 species
CUGGUGGAGCUGCGACAGUGUAGACCUUGAUGGCAGUAGCAAAUAUUCAAACAAGAACUUUGCAGGCUGAAGUGGAGAAGGGUUCCAUGUG